rnacentral:rRNA from 1 species
AUGAACGCGUAGCGGCAGGCUUAAUACAUGCAAGUCGAGGGGCAGCACGGUGUAGCAAUACAUGGGUGGCGACCGGCAAACGGGUGCGGAACACGUACAGAACCUUCCUCAGAGCGGGGGAUAGCCCAGAGAAAUUUGGAUUAAUACCCCAUAGGAUAGUGGAGUGGCAUCACUCAGCUAUUAAAGAUUUAUCACUUUGAGAUGGCUGUGCGUCUGAUUAGGUAGUUGGUGAGGUAACGGCUCACCAAGCCGACGAUCAGUAACUGGUGUGAGAGCACGACCAGUCACACGGGCACUGAGACACGGGCCCGACUCCUACGGGAGGCAGCAGUAAGGAAUAUUGGUCAAUGGACGCAAGUCUGAACCAGCCAUGCCGCGUGGAGGAUGAAGGUCCUCUGGAUUGUAAACUUCUUUUAUCUGGGACGAAAAAAGGGAAUUCUUUCUCGUCUGACGGUACCAGAUGAAUAAGCACCGGCUAACUCCGUG